rnacentral:misc_RNA from 1 species
UUUCCGUAGGUGAACCUGCGGAAGGAUCAUUAUUGUAUAACCGAGGUGCGAGGGCUGUCGCUGACCCGAAAGAUCGUGCACGCCCGAGUGCCCUCACACACAUCCAUCUCACCCCUAUGUGCACCACCGCGUGGGUCCCCCUUUGGCUUGUUCGGAGGGGGGCUUACGCUUUCACACAAACUUUGUAUGCAGUGUAGAAUGUAUUUUUUGUUUUUGCGAUCACGCAAUCAAUACAACUUUCAACAACGGAUCUCUUGGCUCUC